rnacentral:rRNA from 1 species
UACGUAGGGGGCAAGCGUUGUCCGGAAUCAUUGGGCGUAAAGAGCGUGUAGGCGGCCCGAUAAGUCCGCUGUGAAAGUCCAGGGCUCAACCCUGGAAUGCCGGUGGAUACUGUCGGGCUCGAAUCCGGAAGAGGUGAGUGGAAUUCCUGGUGUAGCGGUGAAAUGCGCAGAUAUCAGGAGGAACACCGAUGGCGAAGGCAGGUCUCUGGGCCGAUACUGACGCUGAGGAGCGAAAGCGUGGGGAGCGAACAGG